CAAAAAUAAAACCAUAUUCUGGUCUCAUUCCUUUGCAUUCAGGAAGCACUUUUCAAAUAUAUCUUCCACGUUCCUGAUUUGAUUUUCAUAGAAUAAUUCUGCUUUGAAUGAAUUUUUAAAUUCCAUUACAGCUUGUUUACUUACCUGAAAUUCUUUCCUCAUCUAAUUUCUUUAUAAUUUCUGCUUUAUCUCAAUCUGUUCUCUUCUCAACUCAAAUUUCUUAUCAUGCAUCUUUCCUGUCAUUUAUCCAUGUUUCCUUGAGCCCUGAGAGUGCAAGGCACAUGCUGGUGAAUAGUUUCUUCUGUUUAUUGCGAUAGUAUUUUAAAAACAAUAUUUCCUUCUAUUUUUUUUCUUUAUGCUAUAGCAUUACUUCAUAGGCUCCCUACUGGUUUGCAUUUAAUUUCCUCAUCCUUAAAUGAUAGGAGAUACAUCAAGAACUAUUUAUUCCAAGAUAAGGCAUUCUGCACACUGUCUGCUUGCAAGCUGUUAAACGCAGGGUCUGGGAUCUGAGCCUCCAAUUUUGAACCAGUUCAAUGAUUCCCAGCAUUCUGGGAAGAGUAGGCAAGAGGAAGUUCCCCUUGGCUGGGAGGUGUUUUGGUUUUCAGUGAAGUCUGUAUGCUGGGGGUCAAACAGUAUGGCUUGACUUCCUUUUAAUUUCUUUGGUAAGAAGUCCUAACCCAAUGAUGAGAAGACCCUCCAUUGCCACCAUGCUCAAGAACUUCUGGUAACGGCCCUUGACCCCCUGACUUCCAGUUAAAAUUUCUUCUGACCUCCUCUGAUUACUUUCCAGCGCCACCCCCUGCAACUUCACAGAAGAAACUGACUCUAAACAGAGGUUGAUCCCCAGCCACUGCUCUGGUGGAACUGAAAUGUUUCCAUGUGGCAGCCCCUGACCACCACCACCCAGUUCAGGACGCUCGAUGGACAGCGCCUAAGCACGGAGGCAACUGUGAGUUGCUGGCCAGGGCCACUCUCUGUUGAAACAGAAAAGUUUCCAUGUGGAAGCCCCCGACCACCACCCAAUUCAGUGUUUCGACAGCUAUUUCCUACUAGCUCCCUGGCCACUAUGGACAACUCUGAAUCUAUUCCACCUGAUUCCUCGUUUGACUGCAUCCUCCGCCACUGGAAGCAAUUUGACCCUGACAAUCUAAAGAGAAAAAGAACUGUGCCCAUUUUUCGCCAAAGCCACGUCUGAGCUGAGAACAGGAGCAUGAAGGCGAACAGGCAGAAAGAAGUGGAGUGUUCCUCCCUCCCUUUCAUCUAUAUUCAUCAGAAGAAUAACUCAGACACUUGACUUUUUCCCAUGGAAUUUGGAGACACAGGGACUGGUACCUGUCUCACGCCUGAAAAAAAAAUGAAUGGAAUGGGCUUUGGGCAGCAGGAGGAGGGCAGGAGAGGGAAGAGAAUGGCCUGAAAUCUCAGAGGUUGAGGUAACAAUGUGUCCAUGUUGCUUUGGAUCAUGUGAGGACCUUCCAAAAGAGUCCCAGCCAUGAGUUGCUUUGAAAUGGACCCCACCUAAGAAGGUACAGGAGCAAGGUGACCCCCAUGGAGAAGUGGACCAGCAGAAGCCAGGAGACAAAGGCAUCAUAAAUAGCUGGGUAAUUGAGGGAUCACCUCCUCAAGGAACUGUGGGAUAGCAGAGCUCAGCAUGGAGAAGAAUGCAUGGGAGGGAGCUCUAAAAAACUCAAAAAUAUACGCAAGAGAAGAUGUCAAAAUGUUCACCAUGACACAGUCACAGCAUACUAAUACCAGGUAAAGCAGCACCACCCACAUGAGACUGUGCUCUUCUCCAAGUUCACCGUCACAUUCCCAGCUAGUGAAUGAAGGAGUAGGUAACCAGAGGACAUGAGGGAGAAGUCGGGCUGUGUCUCCUUCCACGACGUGGAGUAGAGCUGCCCAAGGCAGGCUCGAGCAGAGGGAGGGAAGAACUUUUCAAUUGAAUAAGAGCCCAGCGUUUUGAUGUGAGGCUGGCCUGGAUUGUAUUAUCAUUAUUACCCCCAAAGAAAUAACCAGAAAAGCUUUGGGAAUUUUCUGGGACUUUUUCCAGAGGCAGAGAAAAAAGUACACGAACAAAACAAGUUGGAAAGGGGUGGUGGUGAGGAAGGUUCAAAUUGUCCUCUAUGUGCCCCACAGAGCAAUGCAGUAGCUCCAGCGAUCAACAGAAGGACUGCAUUUGUGGGGGCGCGUCGGAAAUGCUGUGUGACUUCUUUUGUUAUGUAGAUGUCAAGACAGAAACUAGAUGUCGUAUAAUCCCAUCAGUGAUUCUUUUCUACAGAAACUAAUUUACUAAAACAUCACAGGAAAGUCCCUGGACAUGUGAAGAAUUCAUUGAGCAAUCUCUGUCGUGUUCCUCUCAACCUCUCUGCUGGGUUUCCCUCCGCCUUAACUGGCAAAUACACUUUGCCAACAGCAAAAAUGUCAAAAGCAAAUUUCUAGGGCAAAAUAAUACUGACUCUUGAUUGUGAAACUAAAAUUCUUAGAGAAUACAUGAGAACCAAUAGCAACAAGUUGGUUAUUUUCUUUAAAAAAAAAAAAAAAAAAAAGAACUUCACUGUAAAAAAGAUGGAAAAAGCAAUAAAAAAAUAGAGUAAUAAGUCAGCUGGAGCUUGAGGAAAAUCAAGGGAAAGGAAGAGAAUAGAGAUACCCACAAAUUGAGGGUAUACAUAUGAAGGAAAGGAAGGAUGACAGGCUGGCUCCCAGCUGUUAUUUGAAAGUGGCAGCCCUGGGGACAAAAAAAGAAAACGGAAAAUAGUGGAUGGUAUAUUUAAAGAUAAGAUUCGAAGUGGAGUUAAGACUUUUCUGUGGGCCUGGGAAUGGUGUGAGAGGGAUCUCUACAUUUUCCUGGGUCCAGAGUGAGAGGCAGGAGGCAGCUGCAUGGUUGCCCUGACCAGCCCCAAGAAUUUCCUGAUACAAUGAAAGGAAACACAUGAAAGCAAAAUACUGGGCUCUCUGCCAGAUGUGAGGCUGGGCAGCUGCAUCUGUGUAGGAGCACCCAUGCCAUAUCCCCACGUUGCAAUCGGGUGUGCCACUCCCCAGAGACACUGAUGCAUCCCGCCUGUGCCAGGUGGAGAAAGAGAAUGCACAAGGACAACCGCUGCUGACGAUGGAGACUUAAAAGAAGCCUUCAAACAGGACAUCCCUCCGCCUGGACUCAUCACCUGGCUGAGGUUGUUGCUUUGUAAUCAGCAACAGCAAGGAUAGGAAGCAGAAAAGAAAUUCAGAUGAAGAGCUUUGAACAAGACUGUUAGGAAUCACUAGAUUGGAAACUCAGAAUGGGCUGAAUUAAGUGAUUUAUAGAUAGUAGGUAGCGGAUCAGAGCAGAGAUCAGACCAAAAUUACAGGAACAAAUUCUAUUUUCUGCAAGUUGCAUCUUACGGACUCUUGUAGCUGUGAAAGGACUCAGCCUCUGGAGAAUGCAAAGCUUUCUCUUUUUCUCUGUUGGCGGAGACAGGGAAGCAAAGUGGGAUGGAAUGGCUAGGUCCUGACUUCCUUUGUAUGAUUUUCUUAUUCCUCGUCCUUCCUUGAUCACAUCAGUAAAGAGACAGAAAACAGACUAAGCUACUUAAACUACAUUUCUUUGUGAUUUCUUUUUUGUUAUUCCAUUGGAACAAAAAUGUCUCUACCCCAUUCCCUUCUUUUCUAUUACGUUCUUAAAAAGCUUGCAUCAAUUUGUUUAAAGGUUAUACAUCAACCACCCUUAAAUUCCUACCAGUUUAAGAGCUCCCUGGCAGAACCCAGCUUCCACACAGAGUUAUGCGUUCGUUUUUCUGAAUAUUUAAGCAGAAUAAAACCAUUUACAGAUAAAAAUAUGUAACGGCCACCUUCCUUCCUUAUGAAAUUGAGAGGCUGUCAGUUCCAGCUCCCUCUUACUGAAAUGAAUAUUUGGACUACACCAGUAUGAAAAUAAAACGUCUUGACAGUUUCUUGAGGUUAAUGGUGCAGAACUACCUGUAUUUAACAUUCCGACUUCUACUCCAUUAACACGCCUAACUCAGUUUUCUUUAUCUGCCAAGGAGAAAUGGAACAAAAAUCAAUAUCCUACCCAAAGCAUUGAUGAGGUUUUACUCCUCCUCAAAUCUCAAAGGAAUGUCACACCCGUUUAUGGCAAGACUGUCCCCAAACAAAUUGCGGGUUGCCACUGUGUGAAGCAAUGUUGUAUGAAAUCAAGAGUUGAAAUGGUUGCCACCUCAUUAUUUAUUUUCCAUCCUGCAACACAUAUUUCAUGUUCGCGUUAGUGCAUUCAGAUGCCAAGGAGAUAAGUACUUUAACAAUCCUAAGACAGAAGUCUGUGGAGCACUUGUUAAUGGCUUCAAUACAUUUCCUUGUGUUGUAAAUUUCAGCUUUCAUAUCUUUCCAAGAAGUUCCUCCCACUAUUUUGGCAGUGAAUGAACUUGCCAGGAGGCCUGUUCUCCAUCCUCCCUUUCUUCUUACUUCAUCUCCCACCCGGACCCAGGCCCAGCCUUCCUGAGGCACAAGCUGCACACCAGGAUCCCUCCCCGGCUGCCGGCACACUCUGGGAGCCUUGCCCACUCAUGCCCAAGGAAAAGGGCCAGAGAAAGGCUGGUGCUGCUGUGGGAAGGAGGUGGUGGCUCCUCCUUGGCUACAUUGCUCUAGGCUGAUUCUCUGCCUCUCAAAGUGGAAAGUGUGUUCGCCUAGAUCCUUCUCAGCCUCCAGUGGCCAUUCAUACUUCAACUGCUUCUUGAACCUCAGCUUCUACUUCCCUGAGUUGCACUGGCUGCUUAGCUGUCCUAUUCCUGCCCCAGCACUUAUCUGAUUCUUGCUAUUUAUAGAACUUCCCCCUACCCCAACCUAAGGAUGCUCUUGGUUCUAGUCAGUUCUUCCUGCCAUUUCACCCUUGCCGUUUAAACACCAGGGGCAUGUACCCUGUGUUCUGAGUGUACACUUUAUCUGUUAGAUCAGUGGUCAGCAAACGUUUCCUGUAAAAGGCCAGAGAGUAAGUCUUUUUUGUUGUUGUUGAGACGGAAUCUUGCUCUGUUGCCCAGGCUGGAGUGCAAUCGUGCAAUCUUGGCUCACUGCAACCUCCGCCUCCGAGGUUCAACUGAUUCUCCUGCCUCAGCCUCCCAAGUAGCUGGGAUUACAGGCAUGCACCACCACACCCAGAUAAUUUUUGUAUUUUUAGUAGAGACGGGGUUUCACCAUGUUGGCCAGGCUGGUCUCGAACUCCUGACCUCAAGUGAUUCACCCGCCUCUGCCUCCCAAAGUGCUUAGAUUACAGGUGUGAGCCACUGCGCCUGGCCAAGAGUGAGUAUCUUAAGCAUUAUAGACCAUGCCAUCUCUAUCCACUCAGUCCUGCCUUUGGAGUGUGAACGCCACCUUAGCCCGUAAGUAAACAAAUGAGCCUGGCUGUGUUCCAAGAAAAUCUUAUUUAUGGACACCUGAAAUUUGAAUUUCAUCUAAAUUUCACCUUGCAC
ensembl:lncRNA